rnacentral:piRNA from 1 species
UUAUAAUUAAAAGUCUGAAUUAAUGGUAGU